GAAAUAUGAGACCCAAAGGUGAGCUUCUAACUUAACCUUUAAGCGAUGAAAUUUCGUUUAUAUUUCU
rnacentral:tRNA from 1 species